AAGGACUUAAUAGAAGACCUAAAGGCUUUUAUUGUUUACUAUAAUGGUUUUGUUGAUUUAGUUAGUUGGGGAACAUUGAAGUUUGCUUGCGCUACACUAAUGUAUUCAACGAGUCUAUAACCUUGGCUGACAAGCCUGGGUAAUCUUUGAAAAUUUCAUCGUAAUGGGGAUAGAUAAUUGCAAUUGUUGGCUUUCAACAAGGAAUUCUUAUUGAGCACGAGUCAUCAGCUCGCAUUGGCUAUGUCUCUACCCUUUGUACA
rnacentral:ncRNA from 1 species